rnacentral:rRNA from 1 species
GACGUAGGAGGCAAGCGUUAUCCGGAUUUACUGGGCGUAAAGAGCGCGCAGGCGGUCCUUUAAGUCUGCAGUGAAAUCUCUCCGCUCAAGGGAGAGGGGUCUGUGGAAACUGGAGGACUUGAGGGCAGAAGGGGGAAGCGGAAUUCCCGGUGUAGUGGUGAAAUGCGUAGAUAUCGGGAGGAACACCAGUGGCGAAGGCGGCUUCCUGGGCUGCCCCUGACGCUGAGGCGCGAAAGCGUGGGGAGCGAACCGG